UAAAAAAACUAUACGUAUAUUAGGAGCUAGGCUCCUAUGCUUUCGGAAGCACGAAAACCUCCGCAUUUGUAAGUUAUUUUGGAUGAUGAGAUGUUUGAUUCGACGAUCGAUUUCGUUAGAUAUGAUUUACGCUAGUAGAACUAUUUAGAAACCAAAUUUCAUAAUUUUUUGAUUUCGUUUGCCUAAUGAACGAGUGGCCUCAAAAUGAACGACUAAAAAUAAAAUUAUAUAAAAAAAUAAUGAUAAAAGACUCGAAUUUUAAAUCAGAAAUAUUAUUGUUAUUCUUAAUAUUAAGUAGAAUUUUGUAUCAAAAUUUUAUAUAAUUUAAAUUUUUUUGCACUGUUGAACUUACAAACGUGCCACAUCAGUCAUUAACCUUCGAUCACGUAUUUGGUAAAUAAAAUCAAAAAAUUAUGAAAUUUGGUUUCUAAAUAGUUCUAAUAACGUAGAUCAUAUCUAAUGAAGCCGAUCGUCGAAUCGGAUAUCCUAUCAUCUAAAAUAACUUACAACCAUGAAGGCUUCCGUACUUUUGAAAGUACAGGAAACAUAGUCCGUAUAUUAGAUCCUAAUCCUUUAAUCCAUCC
rnacentral:lncRNA from 1 species